rnacentral:rRNA from 1 species
AACCUUAUAAUGCCAGUCGAACGAGAGACCUUCGGGUCUCUAGUGGCGAACGGGUGAGUAACACGUAGGGAACCUGCCCGCGCACCGGGAAUACGCUCUGGAAACGGAGAACAAAUCCCGAUGUACAGGAAGGAGGCAUCUUCUUUCUGUGAAACAUCCUUUCGGGGAUGGGGCGCGGAUGGACCUGCGGUGCAUUAGUUUGUUGGCGGGGUAAAGGCCCACCAAGACGAUGAUGCAUAGCCGGCCUGAGAGGGCGGACGGCCACAUUGGGACUGAGACACGGCCCAGACUCCUGCGGGAGGCAGCAGUAGGGAAUUUUCGUCAAUGGGCGCAAGCCUGAACGAGCGAUGCCGCGUGAGUGAAGAAGGCCUUCGGGUCGUAAAGCUCUGUUGCGGGGGAAAAAAGGCAGCAUCAGGAAAUGGGUGCUGACUGAUGGUGCCCCGCCAGAAAGUCACGGCUAACUACGUGCCAGCAGCCGCGGUAAUACGUAGGUGGCGAGCGUUAUCCGGAAUGAUUGGGCGUAAAGGGUGCGCAGGCGGUCCUGCAAGUCUGGAGUGAAACGCAUGAGCUCAACUCAUGCAUGGCUUUGGAAACUGGAGGACUGGAGAGCAGGAGAGGGCGGUGGAACUCCAUGUGUAGCGGUAAAAUGCGUAGAUAUAUGGAAGAACACCAGUGGCGAAGGCGGCCGCCUGGCCUGUUGCUGACGCUGAGGCACGAAAGCGUGGGGAGCAAAUAGGAUUAGAUACCCUAGUAGUCCACGCCGUAAACGAUGAGGACCAAGUGUUGGGGGUGAAACCUCAGUGCUGAAGUUAACGCAGUGAGUCCUCCGCCUGGGGAGUAUGCACGCAAG